rnacentral:rRNA from 1 species
AACGAACGCUGGCGGCAUGCCUAACACAUGCAAGUCGAACGACACCUCCGGGUCUAGUGGCGCACGGGUGCGUAACGCGUGGGAACCUGCACUUAGGCUCGGAAUAAUUCUCCGACAGGGGUGCUAACACCGGAUAAUUUCCUCGGACAAAAGAUUGAUCGUCCUUGGAUGGGCACGCGUUGGAUUAGCUAGUUGGUAGGGUAAAAGCCUACCAAGGCGACGCUACAUAGCUGGUCUGAGAGGAUGCUCAGCCACACUGGGGGGAGGACACGGCCGGGAAUCCUACGGGAGGCAGCAGUGGGGGAUAUUGGACAAUGGGCUGAAUCCUGAACCAGCAAUGCCGCGUGAGUGAUGAAGGCCUUAGAGUUGUAAAGCUCUUUUACCCGGGAUGAUAAUGACAGUACCGGGAGAAUAAGCUCCGGCUAACUCCGUG